rnacentral:tRNA from 1 species
CACGUGAAAGACCGGGGUUCGAAUCCCCGUUGAAGAG